AUGAGUCAACUCUGCAGAAAAACAGAACUCAAGGUCUUUGUCCUCUGCAAUUCAUUUGGAGGGUUAGUUCUGGAAGGCCUGAGCUGGCAUUCCCAGCAAACUGUUCCACACAUUCCAAUAACUCUGCAAACAGCCACUCUCUCAAGGCAAACAGGGUGGGACAUCAGGUCUGAGGCAAAGAUGUACCAACUAAGGACCAGCAAGACCAGAAUAGGCACGCUUGGCUGCCCGACCUCCACUUCACCUGCUGCCAGCCCUGACUUGCAAAAGAGACCAGAGAGAGCUCCUGGCCUCUCCCUGACACAGCCAGGGGAGAAUUCGCAGAUGCAGAUUCUGGUGCUUGCGCUCAGAUCGGUGACUCUGGGAUUGUCUGCUGUGCCAAACGAAUGGAAGACUUGAAGGUUCUUUUUUUUCUUUUUUUUUUUAAUGCCAUCUUACAAAUGGGCUGGUGUCUUGGUAACACAGUCCUGGCAUCAAAACCCUGGCUUCUGUCACUGAGGGGUGUGCCUGCGGUGUAUUGGGGGAAGGGGGGUAAUAGAGAAUGGUGUUGGGUUCACCAAUUUCUGCCCCCAGUUGUCCAUCGCACAACAGCCUCUUCUAUGAGAGCCAUGAGAUGGCAUUGUUACUGCUAGAGCCCUGUUGGGGUUCAAGACACACCAUCCCAAAAUACGGCACUUUGCUUGACAUUCUGAAUAUUUUAAGCUGAUGAGGUUUGAGAAAAUGGCAGCUGGAAGAUGACUCAGACCUCCUCCCCCUUUUGCCCUUCUUCCCUGAAACUGGUUAUGAAACACUAGUGGGAGAGGUGCACCCCCCACAAUCAGAGGAAAGGAGCAUUCGAAUCUCCAGAGACAAAUAGAUGUCAAGAAGAUUCCUACAAACAGGCCUUGCUACAUCCCCUUCUACCCCCACCACAUUCACAGCUCUUGCCUCAGACCCCUUAAUCUAUCGUACCCCUCAACUCUUUAUCAAACAUAGCAUAAAACACUCAGGUCCAACUGUUCCUUUGGUUCCUCAUCUCCUUAUGAAGGCUCCUGUGUCAUGUGGAAGUUAGAUCACACCAGUUACUAUGCUUUUUUCCUGUUCAUCAAUCUUAGUUUAAUGUUCAGACCCAGCCAAGAGAUAUCAUGGGGAGGAGUGGAUACAUGGGAGUCAGGGGUGCCAGCUGACUGGCAACCCCAAGAUGGUUGAGGGAAAAAAAGUGUUUCCUUCCCUACAGCCCUGCAGUUGCUCAUGUUUGCAGGAAAUGGAGGGGACGAAACUGGGCACGAGUUGUUGAAUGAAUGAAUGAAUGAAUGAAUGAAUGCCACAGUCUGCAUUAUCCUUCCUGCUGGUGGCUCGACAAGUCCACCUAGAGCUGUGGUCACACCUCAGAGCUGGGAGACAGGCCUCUGAACACAGCUGAAGAGCAGCAAGCACUCCUCAUUUUCUUCUCCUCUCUGUUACUAUGUUCCAUCUUGCCAGGAUUCUCGGCAUCCAAAUACAAAACAAAAACUCUAGUCCCCAAACUGGGCUUUUUUUUUUUUUAAUUUUUAUUUAUUUAUGAUAGUCACUGAGAGAGAAAGAGAGAGAGGCAGAGACAUAGGCAGAGGGAGAAGCAGGCUCCAUGGACUGGGAGCCCGACGUGGGAUUCGAUCCCGGGUCUCCAGGAUCACGCCCUGGGCCAAAGGCAGGCGCCAAACUGCUGCGCCACCCAGGGAUCCCCCAAACUGGGCUUUUACUUGAGCAUAGGAGCACUCAAAACAGUAUUGUGAGCAUUGGUGCCAUAUAAUUUUAAAGCAUUUUGGAAUUACAUAGCUCUAAAUAAAACAACAACAACAAAUGAAAGACAAAAGACUUUUUAUCAUCAGAAUCGUUAGCGAGGUAAAUGUAUGGAUAAACCACAGGUGUUUAAAAAGAAAAAAAAACUUUCUAAACUCUGGGUCCUCAUGAGAACUACAAUGGCAUCGCUGGAUGAGACUGCCAAGAAGAGCCAAGACAGACAGGUUGUAGCUAAGACCCAAGGAGGUGUGGAGUGGCAUGGGGUCGAUAACAAAAGAACUCAAAGCCAGGAGAAUAGGCUGCAAAGAGGGCACAGAUGAAAGCAUCAGCCUCAGGAAGCCUUUCAAACAGAAGUCUCUGGGACAGGAGGCAGCUCUGCGUGGGGUAGAGCCCCUAAUCCACAACUCUUGAUCUUCUGGUGGUGUGACCAAAGCAUUAUUUGCAUGGAACUGAGAAAUAUCCUACUAUGUGGGACUUCAAUAUCAAAGCUGGGAUAGUACCGAGCAAAUGAGGAUGCUUGGUCACUCAAGUUCCAACCUGUCUCUAGAACUUUCUAGUGAUGAAAGAAUCUCAGUCCCGAGGCCACUGAGAUACCCCUCUCAUCCACUGGUUAUGCCUGGGUGUGGCAGGUAUGGAGGAUGCAGGGAAAGAUCCUCCCACCAUUCCCUCCUGGAGGAGAAGCAAGGGUUUUUCCAGAACUUUGGACUCUGAAGUGGAAGGUGGACACUUAAAUACCUUUAGGAUUUCAUGAGAACUCUAAGAUUUUAUUUCAACAAUCAAUUUUCAUAUUUGACAAAAUGCAGACCUGUUUCUUAGAGUUGGUACUGAGUCAGUGUGGAAAAUAUUCUUUCUCUAGAAGAGAAACUGCCCUGGCGUUCAUUUAAAUCUCAAAGGGACAACAGUUUAUUUUAAGGUAACACAGCUCAGUGAAGCCCAUUCUAGCAUGUUCUAUGACUGGGGUAGUGCAAAGGAACCCCGACAUCGAGAUUUGGAGUCCCUGGGGUGUCGGGCCACAGUUUUUAGAUCCUCUAGAAAUACACAAAUAGCUCAACUGUGUGUCAGAAGUGGGAAAAAAUACAACUUACAUAUUUUUUUAAAAAUAUAUCUAAUCUCAUCUUAAACUAAAGGCCCCUUUCCUAUUGGUAGCAACAAAAUAUUUCACUCUACCCACUGGAGAUUUCUCGAUUUCUAUUGUUUUAAAAUUUAGACUGCAUGUGGUCUAGGUUUCUGAUGCUGUCCUAGGUUUCUUUUCCCCUUUUCCUUUUCCAAGAUGCAGGCCAGGCGCCAAAAGUGGAGCAGUAUGCCCUGUGGCAUUCAGAGAAGAGGUCUAGCUUCACAAGGAAGCACAGUUCCUCUCUCCUACUCUUCCUGUGUUGACCUCUGGCCUCACCGUGUCCCCCCAGCUGUAGUGUCUCUGUCUAGGCUUAUUCUCAGCCCAUCCUCACCAUGGCUCCCACAUUAAGGUCUGCUGUGACUUGUGUCUGUCCUCGGAUUGGCCGAGAAGUAACCAACAGGACAAUGGUUAUACAAAACUUUGUGCAUUCAUUCACCUGUUCAUGGCCACUUGAGUUUUUUCCAAUUUUGGAGUAUUACGAAUAAAGCUGGAAAGAGCGUGCACAUGUCAUUUUGUGGACAAAUGUUUUUUCUCUUGGAAAAUUACCUAGGAGAAAGAUGGCCAGGUCAUACUGUAAGUGAAUAUUGACUUUAUAAGUAGCUGCCUAUUAGCUUUUUGAAGUAAUAGUGAGUUCCCACCAGCAAAGUAUGAGAGUUGCAACUGCUUCAUGUCUGCUGACAUUUGGUGCGGUCAGUCCUGAAAAAAUUUUAAGCAUUCUAAGUGCAUGAGAAUUAUAUCUCAUUGUGGUUUUAAUUUGUGUUUCUCUAAUUACUAAUUAUGUUGAGCACUUUUACAUGUGCUUAUUGGCUAUUUGUAGUGUCCAUUUUUGUCUUUAGCCUAUUUUUUAUACCAGACUCUGUGUCUUUUAUUAUGGAUAUAUAGGAAUUCUUUAUAUAUUCUGGAUACAAGUCCUGUGCCAGAUGAAUGGGUUGUGAAUGUUUUCUGCCAAUCUCUGGCUUGUCUCGUGGUCACUUUCAUUUCCUUUCCAUCAGAGAGAAGAAUUUUAUGAAGACCAAUUUAUCAUUUUUAAAUGUUAUGAGUAGGGCUUUUCAUGUCCUAUGAGAUCCUUGCCUACCCCCAAGGUUGCAAAAACCUUCUGUUUUUUUCCAUGGGAUUUACAAUUGUAGGGUUUAAUUUUUAAGUUUACAGUUGAAAAGCCUGCAUAUGUGUGGCUAAAUUUUUAUUUGAAGAUUUUCUAGAUAUUUUGUUGAUUUCUCCUAUCUACGGGGUCAGAGAUAAGCUCUGCAUGAUGUCAUAUAAACUACAAAAUUGCAAAAGCAAUUGGCAGUUAUCUUUUAAAUAAAUUACGCAGAACCAAAAAAAAAAAAAAGUCGUCUUUAUUUUGCCUGUGUAUUUGCCACUUGGGAUAUCUUCUUUCCAUGUUGAAGGCACCAGUGUCCAUCAGAUAUCAUUUUUCUUCACCCUGAAUAACUUCCUUUCACAUUUCCUGAGGAAGAAUUCUCUCAGCUUCCUUCAACUGACAAUGUCUAUGUCACCUUCAUUUUUUGGAGGAUGUGUUUUACCGGAUGUAGAAUUUCAGCAUUUAUUAUUCCAUGAGCUUCUCUCAUAAUUUCUCAUUGCUUCUGAAAAAAAGUCAGGGGUAAUUCAUAUCAUUCGUCUCUUAUCUUUUUUUUUUCUGAUUUUUUUUUAAUUUUUUUUUAAUUUUUAUUUAUUUAUGAUAGUCACAGAGAGAGAGAGAGAGAGAGGCAGAGACAUAGGCAGAGGGAGAAGCAGGCUCCAUGCACCAGGAGCCUGAUGUGGGAUUCGAUCCCGGGUCUCCAGGAUCGCGCCCUGGGCCAAAGGCAGGCGCCAAACCGCUGCGCCACCCAGGGAUCCCCAUUCGUCUCUUAUCAUUUGUGUUAUUUUCCUCUCUGGCUGCUCUAGGAUUCUCUUUAUUCUCUUUAUUUAUUCUCUUUAUUUUUCAAUAGUUUACCUAUGAUCUUGCUUUUUGGGUGUGUAUACAUGUUCAUCUUCCUUGGAGUUUUUUGUGAUUCUUGGGUUUAUAUGUAAUGUUCUUUUAUCAAAUUUAGGACAUUUUCAUGGGCAGCCCGGGUGGCUCAGUGGUUUAGUGCCACCAUCACCCCGGGGCCUGAUCCUGGAGACCCGGGAUCAAGUCCCAUGUCAGGCUCCCUGCAUGGAGGCUGCUUCUCCCUCUGCCUGUGUCUCUGCCUCUCUGUGUGUGUGUGUGUGUGUGUGUGUGUCUUUCAUGAAUAAAUAAAUAAAAUCUUAAAAAAAAAAACAAAUUUAGGGCAUUUUCAGCCAUAUUCUUUCAAAUAGUUUUUUUCUGCCCACUCUCACCCUCUUCUCCUUCUGAGAUUCCAAUUACACAUAUAUUAAAAUGUUGGAUAUUCUACCAAAUGUCACUGAAGCUCUUUCAUUUUUAAAAAUCUUUUUCAGGGUGAUCCCUGGGUGGCUCAAUGGUUUACCACAUGCCUUCGGCCCAGGGCAUGAUCUUGGAGUCCCAGGAUCAAGUCCCACAUUGGGCUCCCUGCAUGGAGCCUGCUUCUCCCUCUGCCUGUG
rnacentral:lncRNA from 1 species